UGCUGGGGGAGGUUCAGCUUAGAUAUUAGGAAAAAAUUCUUCUGUGAAAGAAUUGUCAGGCAUUGGCACAGGCUGGUGUGGCACAGGGAGUGCUGGGGCACCGUUUCUGGAGUGGUCCAGAAUCAUGGAGAUGUGACACUGAGGGAGGUGUCUCAGUGGGCAUGGUGGCUGUGGUUUGGGGUUGGUGAUCUUAGAGCUCUUUUCCAACCUGAAUGAUUCUGUAAUUUCUGUGAUAAUAUCUUUCGGAGAAAUCUCCGUUUGCUGACUGGUCCCAACAAACAAAUCCCUUAGAUGCUCAGCAAGGUAGUCACUACGUGGUCAAGCACAAGCAUGAACGAUGAGCUAUACUGCUUAAUCACAACUCUGAAAGCUAAAUGGAUCUUGGGCACAUGUUCAGACCUUUAUAAAAAUGCAUGGAAAUCAAGGCAGCUAUUUAAGGAUUGAAUAGAAACAUAAUUGAGUAUUUAGUAGUACAGAUGGCCGUGAUGGAAGGAGCUCUGAAUGGCUGGGCAGAGCUGGGAUAUAUGGCUGGUGUGCCUUUCCUGUGUGCAGUCCUUACAGCCGUGCUGCCUCAGCAGUGAUGUUCAGACUGUGCCCAGGAUCUCUGAAAGGUGAGGUCUAAAAUGAAGGCUCUGAGAGCACAGUUCAGAUGGAAUUCCCCCCUGCAGCUCUGGAUUGAUGCUCAGUCGUGACCCCUUGCUACACCAACAAAGUAUUUUAUUUUGUUUGAGGUUAACUUUUGCCUCAUAGCUGACAGCAGUAAAAAUCACCUUGAAACACUGGUAUUUCUGACGCUUUAUUUUUAGAGAUUCAGCUUAUGUCACUGUUAAAUAAGCAUUGCAACAGAACAGUAAUUUUUGAAUUGUUUGGUUGCACAAUGUUUAACCAAGGCAGCAAAUGUUUGCACAAAAAGGGAACAACUUCUCAGUGUUUUAAAUAAGGUGGGGACAAAUGGUUGAAUUCUGCAUUCUGUAACACUGUAUCACAAACUGUCUUCCUUGCAAGGUGACGUGUUUGCAAAGGUCCAGCAGAGGUAGGAACUAUGAGGAAACACAUUUUUCCUGUCUUGCUCACAGCAUCCUCUCUUUUGUACUCACGUUUGUGACCGCUGUUCUCUGUGCAGAGAGCAUUCCCAGGACUCCACUCCCACAAGGCACAGUGGGUGCUGAAGGUCCAACAUCUGCAUGAUGGAAAGGCAAGCCCCAACUGACCUUGCUUCCAAAUGUUCACGUUCACGUGAAAAACAGCAACCUGAGAGCCAACACUGAGCGCAUUGAAAGCACAACAUUGGGAAGCACUGAGGAUCUCCUAUUUCCAUUGAGUCCUUUUCCUUCCUCCAGCAAAACCUGGGGCUCAACUCUGUCCCUACACAGCUGGACUCUUCUAUGAGCUCCUCCAAUAAGGUAAUUUUUAUCAGUAUUAAAAAUGUAUAUACUUUAGUGAUGUCAGUCUAAGGGUACAAGGAUACCUCAGCACAGUAGGACUUUUUUUUAGUACAUACAUAAGUUACUGUUUAAUAAACGUGGGCUGUCUUAAAUAGGAGAUUUGUCUCAGUAAUAUCUUCCAGCUGAAUUUCUAAAGAAUGCUUGAUUGAUAAUGCUCACUUAGAAAGGAAACAUUGCUGAUAGUAUGUACGCUUCCUGGAUUUUUCCUCUUCAUGUUUUUGGAAAAUGGAAGAUUAGGUUUCAAGAAGUUUGUGUGCUUUUGGCUUCUAUACAAUAAUAAAUCAACUUUAAUUUUAAUAACUUGGCUUUUAUCCUGACUGUUAAAGUAUUUCCCAAAGUGAUUUGACAUGGCACAGCCUUGAUUUAAAUGGAACUGCUGAAUGCCAGUUCCUUCGUUGCUCUUGUUUUGAUACAUCCUGCUAUGCGUGAUUCUGCAGGCUGUCUUUGGAAUGUUAAAUGUGUUUUUAACUGUUAUAACUUUGCCAUAAUGCACAAACUGCAGACGGAGAUGAAGAAAAAUGGAGCAGUCCCAUAGCAGCUGGGUGCUUUGGGCAGUCAGCACUCAGCCCUGUGCAUGUUGCAAUUGCAAAUAUGUACAGAUAAAAUGCAGGCAAGGCAAAACGCGUUAAUGGACAGAGGAAAAUGUAAAGGGUUUUAUAAAGCACUUGUGAGAGCAAUUUAGUUUUGCCUUGUAAUACAUCACUGGAGACAGCAAAAGCAGGGAGGAUGGUACUUUUUAACUGCAUUUCCCUAUGGGCAUAAGUGUAAUCCCUGCUUUAUGUUCUGAACAUUUGUCAGUGCAGAAGGCUGCAGAUUUCGCCUCGUGUAACUCUUGCAGGGCUUUCAUGCAGCCUUCUAGAUGGACCCCCGUGUCAUUCUGUGAUUUUGUAACGUGGAAUCCAGGAAGUGUGACCUUGUUUAAAAAAGUCUCAGUUGUGAAAGUGCCUCUUUGAGACACCAGCGCUGCUCAGCACACCUGAUUGUAGCAGAACAGUGAAUGCUCAGAUCUGCAUGUGGCUGAUUGUAACUGAGGAGUUAGGAAUAAAAAGACAGAGAAAUGCAGUGCAUACAAAGGUAGGAGGAAAUAGUCCUGCAAACUAGACACAACUAAAUUCUGGUGAAGACAAGUAUUUUUCUGUACACAACAUUGUAGUUGUAAAAGAACCAAAACCUAUUGGAAUAGGUUAGCUUAUGUUGAGAUUUUGCAGCUGCUAUGGUUUAGGCAAUUCUUUUUAAUGAUUGUUUUUUUCUACCCUUCUGGAUCCUAGUAUGCAAUUUUACAUAUUUGUAGUGAAGGCAGCAUUUUAGAAGGAGCAGAGGAAAUUUGACCUUGGCUUGAAAACUUGCUUUUUAGGAAUGAGGCAAUUAACUGCAGUAAUUAAACUCCCUAAAUUGGAGGAGUCUUCAACAGUAAUAUUUCCCUUAUAAAAACAGAUCCAAAGAGGACCCAAUUAGAAUAUCAUUCCAUGUAAGUUAAAUCAUUGAAAUUAAAGAAAAUUUGAAAUGAGCCAGAGGAGAGAACAGAAAUUUGCUCUUCUGUUAAUAAAAUAGGAGAUGGUAGAGAAGAUCACAAGAACCAAAAAUCACAAACAUUGGGAUGAGCUGACCCAGGGAGGUCAGGUAGCCUAUCGCUGACCGAUUGACCUCCUGAGAACAAAGCAGUUUGUUUAUCACAGGAAAAGCCAUAGCUUUGUCAGGGUAAACAUUAUAAAACUUGAGGCUUGUGAUUUAGUAUCUGAUCUUACAGCUGAGUGAUUUAUAUUUCAUCCAUGUGCUUGUUAGGGAUACCAACUCAGCUGCCAUCUGCAGGGUCAGGGCCUGCAGUAACUGUGUAUUAAAUGCAUCAAAUACACGUUCAUAACUUGGUGUAUAGGAGGGCAUGGCUGCAGCCCUGAAGUCAGCAGGACCCUUCCUCUUUCCUAUGCUGGACCUGAGUUGGGUGUGAAGGAAAAACAAACAAAUGAAACUAAAGGAAACAACUGAAUAAAACUCCAAGAAACCACUAAAUGAACCCUUUGUGUCCCAGAAAAUAAGCUGGUAAUUUAAGGCACUGUGUCAGCAGGCCCAUUUGCUGCUGGAUCCAGUCUCUGCCCUCCCACCACAUUGCUGCAUGCACCAAGGUCCAGGCAGUGUGAUGGAGGCUGAAAUAUGCUGCAGGCUUCAGCACAAAGAGCCAAAUGGUGAUGCUUUGGACUUGCUAGUCCCCAAGAUCUUUUCCAACCUUAAUGAUUCUAUGAUUUAUGGCCCUGUUGAUUUCAGUGUUGACUGCCUUGAAGACUGGGAUUGUGAGCAGUGAUUCAUUCAUCCACCAGUUCUUCCCAGUCCCAUGGGAGCUGUGAAAGCUUGUUUCAAUCACAUUUCCUGAAGGCAACUGGUGUUUGGGACAGGUUGCUGGGCUGCGCUCUGCUGCUGGUGACUGAGUUGUUAUCUCCUGGGUGUAACCUUGGCAAUGUUAUCUGCCUGAAAUUUCUAAGGCUUCAGCUCCACAGUGCUGUGACUUCUGUGAGGAGGGCACUGGGUGUGCAGCCAUCUGUGGGAAAGAUUCUCAGGGAAUAAAGGCCGGAAAUGUGCUGAGCAGAGAACUGCUCUUUCAGGUUUUGGCACAGUAAACUUGUAAGAAACUUUGGUCUUGGAGAUUCAUGAUCCUUGAGGUCCCUUCCAACCCUGGCAAUUCUAUGAUUCUGUGGUCUGCUUGUUGGGAAGAGAAAGUGCAGUAAAAAGGGAACCAGGUCUGGGAGGACAUUGAGCAGAACCAGAAAUGAUGCUGAGACAGUUGGGGAUAGAGGCAGGACGGUCGUUUUUGGCAGAUCUACACAAAGAGUCACUUGAGAACAAGCUUGUAUUGAGAGGUUUUAUUCUGCUGUUAUACUCACAAAAAAAGCAAAGCCUGCAAAGUGUGGAAGCAGAAACCUGGAGUUUGUGUUUUCUGCUCUACCAUAUGCUCAAAACCUCUUCUGCAAACUCCUGAUUAUUAUCAGGAGUUUUAGAUUCCUGGCUUUGCUUUCUUUUUCUGUGGGACAAAGUGAUUUGCAAAACCACACAACUAAUGCUCAGUCCUCAAUGUCCAUGUUAUACCCAAGAGCUUUUCCAUGCUUGUCUUGCUUAAAGCAUCACUGCUGCCUGUGGAUCUGCCUUCUAUCCCUUCACUUACCCAGGGAUGUUCAAAGCCAUGGCUCUGGGCUGGUGAGCCUCCUCCUCACCCUUCCUUGCCGUGGAAUUACCAAAUUGCCAGGCUGCUAGUUGUAAUGACCACCAAUGUAAUUUUAUUUGGGGCCAGUUCAUCACAAAGCUUACAGCAGAUAGGGAUCUCGGGAUGCUGGCAAUGUCUUUUUACUUUUUCAGUCAAAAUAUUUGGCCUCUGUAAUAUUUUUAAUAACCAUGACAGAUCUAUUCGAGUAUGCUAAUACACUGCAAACAAUCUGAUUGUUGCUCUCUGAGAGGAGUGGAGCAAGGCAUAGUAACAGGCUGCCUUUAAGGGGAGAACUUACAAGUGUAGAUUCUAGGGGGAAAAUACCUCUACCCUGAGUCACACUGAGGCACCUUUUGUGACUGAGUUACUGGUGAUAACUGAGCUCUUGGUCAGCACACACUACCUUCAGCUGAGGGGUGGCCAGGGGCAGUGCCACCUUUUAUGAAAUUUAAUGGCACAGAAAAAAAUGUCAUUGCAAAUGUUUCUUCCUUCUUUAAAGAGAAAAAAUAUGAUCCUGGCUCCAGGGUGAGAUAAGCCUUGUGUCUGUCUGCAGCUUGGCUGCAAGAGGGGAAGAAGAAAACAUGAAUGCUUUGGGUUUGCUGAUUCCAGCCCUCCUCCACAUCACAUACCAGAGCAAGGGUUGGAUGUGAGAGUGUUUGUUUGGCCCCUCUCACCUCUGAUGAAUCUAUUUGCUGUCUUAUUUCCUAGAAAAAUCAUGUUAAGAUUUAUAAAACCACUAAUUGUUUGUUUCUUCUCUCUUUUGGUGAUGUAAACACUCUCAUGCAAAGUGGAGCAAAGUCAUCCAAAAUUACAGUUAUUAACAGUGUGUGGAAUGACUCCCAGGGACGCGUUCCCCAAAUAAAUUAAGGGUCAGUUCUUGUUCACCAGCGGGUUGUAUGUAAAUUGAGUGUCAGGAUAGUUGAUUUGAGCUCUCAAAAACAAAGUCUGCCCUAAAGCACUCAUUGUUUAGAGUGUAACUAGAAGCUGGAAGAAGUGUGAUUUCUCAGUUUGCCAAGGGAAGCAACCUCUCCCGAUCCUGUACAUGGGCCAGCAUGGGAUGUUAUUACUUGGCUUCAUUCUCAGAAGCAGGAUUUUUAUCUGUUCCUUUUCCUGAGUUCAGUUUUCUCUUUCCAUUUUAUGUUCCCUAUUAUUUUACAAAGCAGUAUAGUUGGCAUUUGUUGUUAGAUGGUAGAUAUUUGAAAGAAGUGUCACGGCUGUUCACUGCAUUGUUGUAUUUUAUUUGAAUGCUUUGUGGUUGUGGAUUGCAUUGUAGAUAUGUCACAUGAACUGACUGCUCAAGUUUCCAGAAAAAAAAAUUAAAUUGCUAUAGCUUUCCAGAUAAGAGAGAAGAAGAAAACUUUAUAUUUUUUCCUUUCAGUUUCUUCUACACCAUGACUUUGUUUAAUGGUGCAGAUGCAGAACCUUGGUUUUUGACUGCAAUCAUAGUAAAAGUUUGUUUCUCUUGGUGUUGUGUGUUAGCAGGAUUUGGUUCAAAACUGCUAUUUCUGAGACAAGCUCUUACUAAGUGCUGCAGGAUGUCCCAUUAUCAUUGCCAGCCUUUUGUGGUGGGACUCAGCAUUAAAAAAACCUUCCCAUGUUUUGCUGCAAUAGAAUUACUCCAAGAAGUUUCCCUUAUGGGAAGAACAUGCAGGCUUUAUUUCCUAUGUGUCUGAAAGAGUAUUUAGAAUUCUGUAAAUCUAUUUAAUAACCUCCAAAGCUAUUUAAGCAUUCCUGAAGCUUCAAUUGGAUGAAUUGACAAGAUAAAGUUAACAAACUGUGGGGCUCUUGUGCCGAAGAUGGGAGGAAUAUAAGAAGUAGAGACAGAGGAACAGGUGGGGAAAAAAAACACUGAAAGAAGCAGUGGGUGUGCAAGGGAACCUCUUAAGUGAGUUUGAUUUCACCCAGCCUCUGUGCAGGGUGUGGAAUACACAAGCAGAGAAGGAAAGGAAGGUGAAGCUGGAGCAUGCAGUCAUUCAUAUAUGGAGCACCUGAGAGGGAAGAACUCCAGCAUCUUGGAGGCAUCACCAGUCUGGGCUGAUGGGGACCACUGGGAUGGUUCUAGAGACAAAGAGGUGCAGGCUCCUGGGUGGCCAUGAGCUCUUCCCUGAGUUCUUUCUCUUCAGAGACUUUAGUUCUGUUAAACAAAGAUAAAGAUAAAGCAAAUGAUUUGUUAUAGCUUUGGAGGAUAUCUGUGUGGAUGAAGUCCACAGAAAAGGUCCAAAACCAGCACAGUACAGUGUGAUUUGUCUUACUCAUUCAAGUGAAAACAUGGUAUGUAUGCUCAGUUAUGGUAAAUAUUAACAUUGCUGGGAAUUUCAUGAUGCAGUGGGGUGAGGUGAGGCUGCAGCCUUCUCAUGUUGCUGUGUUGCCCUGCUGCAAGGUGCUAAGAGGAUGCCAUAAUUCAGGCUUUGCCUAAAGAGAUGUUCAUAUAUGAAUAAAAAAAGUGAGGUUAUACAAACAAAGCAUAAUUUCCAGUGAGAAUCAUUCAGAACUUUUGUUUCACCUGUGUAGUUGUGCUCAAACAAGGCCAUUUUCAAAGAUUUUCUCAGUUCCUCCUUCCAAAGGAACCAUGUAGAGCCCAUUUAGUAGACGGAAGAAAUGUGCUUUGCUGCAGGUAGGUCACACUCAGUUAGCAAACAGGUAACACGUGCAGCAUGACUUCCCUUACUUGUGUGAGCCAGGGAAGGACACCUGGCUUGGGGCGUGCACUGGCAUCACGACACAGUUUGAAGGACAGGAAGUGCUAUAGGUGUCAUGAAAACCAAAAGGUCUUUAGAUCAAAUUUUCAAAGCUAACAAAGCUAGAAUGACUCUUCAAUGAAACUUUGGCCUUUGGCCAUUGACGCUUUGGGAUGAUGUUAACUUUAACAUACAUUUACUCAGUAUUGGUUACCUCUGUGCACAGCAGUGCUGUUGUUUCCAUAGUGCCAGGAAAUGUGAUUGUGAUAUUUCAGUUAGUCACCCAUGCAAUCUGUACGUAUGUGAAAGAAUAUGAAUCUGCCUGUUUUUUUUUUUUUUAAUGCUGUGAGUAAUAUUUAUGAAGUUGUUUGUACUUUGAAACCGCAAACUGGUGAACUCAGAGAUAUAAAAAUGCAAAGAAUUGUAAUUUCUAUGGAUUGAAAAUGUGAAAUCAAAUGUUGAGCAAGAUGCUUUUAAAGGAAACGAUAUAUUUUCUGCACUAUAAUACAAGUUAUUUUCUUGCUGCACAGAAUAAUUUUUCAUUCACUUUUUGAAGGAAGUAAAGCAGAAAACUGUGUUUUACAGCCCCCUCUCCAGCCACUCACUUAAACAAAUGCUUAGGCAGAAUGUCUGGUCAUCAUUUUAUUUUUGACUAUUGGCUUCUGAAUUUUUUUCCUUCCCUCUCCAGAUAUUCAGACAGAUAAAUUGCUGGUUUGCAUCUCUGCCAAUUAGGUAUGCUUUUUUUGCUUUUUUUCCCUCUUUUUUUGCUAAAUGUCCUACUUGCUUCUUGCAGUGUUUCUCACAAUGCCUCUUUCCUGGGAUCAUGAGACAGAGCAAAACUUUGUGCUGUCAGAGGUAAAACUGAGUAUAUGGAAAGGACUCAGAAUUAUUGGAAUGUUACUGGUUUUAUUUUGGAAAGGCCUCACUCCAGUACGAAUACUUAACAUGUGCUGUCAAAUGCAGGUUUACUAAACUACUGAGUGUACCUACAUCACACUUGUCUUUGCUGGGCUCUCUAAACAGUCUGUGCACACACACUAAUUUUGGGAACGCCUGGAGUGGAUAAAAUACCAAAUUACACAGUGCCACCUGCCAGAAGUGUUGCAGUUGGAAUAAGAAGUCAUGGAAACACUGGAGCUCUGGAACAAAAGGGAAGUGACCACCAGUCAGGAAACUAAAAAAUUGAUAGCAGCGUGUCUCCUGGAAUAACAAUUGCAGAAUAGGAGUGUGUGUGAAGUGGGGCAAUACUUAUCAGGGUGUUAUCAGGAAAGAGCCCUUUCUCUGCAGAGUGCUGUAUGUAGAUGAACAGAUCCCAAGUAGGAGUCUGCACAGUGGAAGAGGAAUUACAAACAAGUCCCAGGAUCAGACAUCCAGCAAAGGAGUGAAUCCCAAAGCUCAGGAAACAACAGUGCCAUGGAGCAAAGCUGUUUGCUUGGGAAGUUCUGCUCAGCUCUGGGCUGCAGUCUAAAGAGAAAAGGAAAAAAACCCAAACACCUUACUCUUGCCUUGGAAACUCUGCAGUAAAGUUCAAUUACUUGAGGGCAGAGGAAGUGCCUGAAGAGGAACUGCUGGGUGUGCAUAAAAUCCCCCUCCUGCCUUGGUGGGGGGAGGGAAAGGAGUUUGAAAGGAGGUUUGCAUUUGGAAUAUAAGUUAACAAGGGAGAAAAGUAAAGACCUCAGUGUGGUAACCACGAGGAUUGUUGCUGCAGUUAGAAAGAAGAGGUUCUUGCUGAUGGCUUUGUGUGUCACAGCCUGCUAGCCAAAUUGAUGGGUGGUGGUAAUAACAGACAUCAGUUUCAGAUUUUCUGAACUGUGUGUGAACUGUGGGUGAACUGCGUGCAUUACACUUUUAUAGGGCUAUGAGGGGUGGGCUGCAAGGCCUGCAAUGGAUUCAGCAGGAAGCAGUUUCUGUCUCCCAUCCCUGUCUGUGUCCCUGAAUGUUUGUGUUUCCAAAGAGUGAAUGGUUGGGUCUUGGUGACAGCCUUGGUGCACAAUUAUUCUGCUGGUCUGCAGACUCUAAGUUGUCGACCAGUCUCUAAUACAACAGCUUCUUUGUUUUGUUUUGUAUCUUGACUUCUUCCCAGGUCAAAGUAUCCAGACAGUAAUGCUAAAAUAAGCUGAUGGAAAGUGCUGAAGGAAGCAGCACAUCAUGAAUUACGUGGUCUUACAUUCUCACUGCAGGCAUUUUUCUUACAUAUUACCUGAGUAGAUCUUGCUGUUGGAGAUACGGCUCGAUAUCCACUUCCCUUAGGAGAUAUCUAGAGCCUUAAAAUAAUUUGGGGAAAUCUGAAGAGCAGUCUUUCUUGAUGUUUUUACUCAGAAAGAAGAGCAUUAAAGGCGCAACAUGCAGUUCUGUGGUCUGACUCAGCUGACAGGGAGGAGGUGUUUGCUUUGGCAGAGUCAUUUUGUUGAACUCUGGGAAGUUUCUUAGGCCAAAAUCUUUGGUCUCACAUAGACUUGUGGUUCAGAAGUGCUUCCUCAGCCUUUUUUUUCAGCUUUCUCUGAUGUAAAAGAGUUUACAGAAAUUAGACUUGACUUAAGGAGAUCAUACAUUGGUCCAACAACUUUUGAGUGAGGCAGGAAGAGCACAGGACACAGGAAGCUUUAUAGUUUAUAGUAUACACAUUCCUUAAUGCACAAAGUGAUUUUAAAAUGUUUAUAUGCCUGUGUAUGACAGAUCUUUUAUAACAGGUUGCUAACACAACUUGGAGGCAAAGCAGAAGAACUUUUUUCAGAGAAUGCCUAAUAGUCUAAUGAUGGUGAAGUAAAUUCAAUCGUGUUAAAUACAGUUCCUGCUUUGUAAUUUGGUCAGAUUUUGAAGUAUUUUUACUGAAGACAGUAAUAGCUUAGAAAAACCAAACUCUGAAAGCUAAUCGUUGGUUCACGUGAGUAUUUACUAUCCAGAGUGUUCGGCGAACUUGAUUGAUCUGAGCAAUGCAAAGAGGUGAGGCCACAAGUACAAAAAUUUUAUAGCAUCCAUAAAGUACUGUAUACAGUUUUUGCUCAAUUUUAUGCUGUUAAACUAAACAUUUGGUAUCAUAUGGCACUUUAAGUACUUUGAUUUAUGUUAAGACAGAAAUUGCAUCUGUAAUAAACAUUCUAAAGUAUGAGUUUAAGAGUAAUCUACUGUAUUUAUUUGUGGCAUAAACUCUCACCAGCAAUGCAUUUAAAAAUCGUCUUAGGCUUAAGUCACGCUGCACAUUACAGCCACAUUGCACUUCAGCCACAGCAAGGUCACAUCCAAGGUGAUGUCUGAAUGGGAAUGAAGGGGUGGCAUGGUAAUAUUAUGUAGCAGCAAACAGAAAAAUACUCAUUUUCUCCUGUUAAGUAUUCCAGAUACAGGAUUUUCUUACUUUACUGUAAAGAAUCCCAUGUUUUACCAAACAAGAUAAAGUACAAAUGCAUCUUGUUUAAUAUGAAAAUAAGCACUCAGGAAUGAAAAUAGCAUGAAAAACUAUCUGACAUAUUUGAAAAUAAAUACCAUAAAAUUGCAUGUGUUUCAGGUUUGUACAGUUUCCCUCAAGGAUGAAUGAAAGCACAGAUAUCCAUUGUUGGACUAGAGCCUGCCAUGGCUGUGCACCGCAGGAAGAAUUCUCCUACCAUUACACUUACUAUUUUGGUAUUGAAUCAAUUAUACGUAGUGGAACUGCUUAAGAAUAAUGAAGAAAAAGAAGGAUACUCUGUCUUGUAACAUUUCUGUUACAUAUUGGUUCAACAGUGACAUGUUGCAUUUCUUAUGGUAAGGAAAAUUUAAGACUAUGACACUAUAAAGGUUUGCAUAAACUUAAAUGGGGCAAGAAUAUGGGAAAGCAGUAUUAAGGCCAUACUGCUCAGUUAGCAGAAAGUGAGGAUGAUGUUCUUCCCUGAGUGCUCUCUUUUCCUGGAAUACUUUGUCAUAGUACUUGGCAGAAACAAUCUGCCACAGUUGUCAGAAGCUCUUAAAAACACUCUUGCACAGUGUAUUUU